GACGAACGCUGGCGGCGUGCUUAACACAUGCAAGUCGAACGAUGAAGCCGGAGCUUGCUCUGGUGAAUUAGUGGCGAACGGGUGAGUAACACGUGAGUAACCUGCCCUUGACUCUGGGAUAACUGCGGGAAACUGUAGCUAAUACCGGAUACGACCCUCGGAGGCAUCUCCUGGGGGUGGAAAGAAUUUCGGUCAAGGAUGGACUCGCGGCCUAUCAGCUAGUUGGUGAGGUAAAGGCUCACCAAGGCGACGACGGGUAGCCGGCCUGAGAGGGUGACCGGCCACACGGGGACUGAGCCACGGCCCAGGCUCCUACGGGAGGCAGCAGUGGGGAAUAUUGCACAAUGGGCGCAAGCCUGAUGCAGCAACGCCGCGUGAGGGAUGACGGCCUUCGGGUUGUAAACCUCUUUUAGCAGGGAAGAAGCGAAAGUGACGGUACCUGCAGAAAAAGCACCGGCUAACUACGUGCCAGCAGCCGCCGUAA
rnacentral:rRNA from 1 species